GACUUCACCCGUCUUUCAUUUACUCACUGGUCUCCUGGUCCCGGAAGCUAAGAAGGAUUGGGCCUGGCUGGUACUUAGGUUGGAGAGGCCUUUGGAAAGCAGGUGCUGUAAGCU
rnacentral:rRNA from 1 species